UGAAGGAGCCAUAGAAAGUACCC
rnacentral:misc_RNA from 1 species